rnacentral:rRNA from 1 species
GGGUGAGUAAUGUAUCGGAACGUGCCCAGUAGCGGGGGAUAACUACGCGAAAGCGUAGCUAAUACCGCAUACGCCCUACGGGGAAAGGGGGGAUCGCAAGACCUCUCACUAUUGGAGCGGCCGAUAUCGGAUUAGCUAGUUGGUGAGGUAACGGCUCACCAAGGCGACGAUCCGUAGCUGGUUUGAGAGGACGACCAGCCACACUGGGACUGAGACACGGCCCAG